GCCUUCCCCGUGUCAGUUGGCGGAGUCCGGAGCCGGAGCCUGAAACAAAAGCGAGAGGCGGCGGCGGCGGCGGCGUUGGCGGCGGGGCUCCUGCGAGUUCGCCCGGCUGAGGCGCGGAGAAGGCGGGGAGGCGCGCGACCGGCGGCGGCGUCGUCCGAGAGAGAGAGGAGCGUCCGUGAGGGAAACUUUCUCCGCGCUUCCUUUCUCCUCACGCGGAGGCUCCGUCGGCGGGAGGCGAGGGAGCCGGACCGGCCUCCGGCUCCAGGGCGCCCGGGAGGAGGGCUCGCCUCAGCCGCCUCAGCCGCCGCCGCUUCCGGAAGGCGGCUCCGCGGGCACCGCCGCCGGAGAGCAGCGCUCUUUCUUUCCCCCGCCCGAAAACAAGCGGAGAAGCCGAGCGGUUGCUCGGGGGUCCCCUUCGCCGAGAAGGCGGGCGGGCGGGCGGGCAGGCAGGGGCCGCCGGCCGCGCCUCUCGGGAGCGGGGCGCGAUGGAUGACCAGCCCCGUCUGAUGCACUCGCACGCCGGCGUGGGCAUGGCCGGCCACCCGGGCCUGUCCCAGCACAUGCAGGACGGGGCCGGGGGCGCCGAAGGCGAGGGGGGCCGCAAGCAAGACAUCGGGGACAUUUUGCAGCAGAUCAUGACCAUCACCGACCAGAGUUUGGACGAGGCGCAGGCCAGGUGAGCCCUCCCUCCCUUCCUCCCCCCUCUCGUCGCUACCAUGAUCAUUAUAAUCGUCAUUAUUAUUAUUAUUAUUAUUGCACCACAUUUCUUUUCGCGGCAGGAUCCUGGUCCUCUAAAAGCCUGACUCGCAGCCGAGCUCUCUCUGUGCAGCAAACAAAAAGUAUAGCUCUCCAGGAAAAACAACAUCCCAUUAUCAUUAUGAUCAUCAUCAUUAUUAUUAUUAUCGCACCACAUUUCUUUCCGCGGCAGGAUCCUGGUCCUUUAAAAGCCUGACUCGCAGACGAGCUCUCUGUUCAGCAAACAAAAAGUAUAGCUCUCCAGGAAAAACAACAUCCCGAUUGGGUGUCUUCUAUGGAGCAACAUGCCAGAAUGGCAUAUUUAAGUGUACAGUAUAUAGGUGUGAUUUCUAGUGGCGUGCGGGUACGUGCAAAUGUUUAGGGAGAGAAGGCUCUUCUGCUCUUUUUUCUCUUUUUUUUGCCAAGUUAGGUAGGGCUGAAUUGGCUCCUUUGGUCGCCUUGUGCAUCUGCACCUUCCCAUCUGUGUUUUGUGACACCUCAAGAGCUGAAAGGCUGGAGCAGCCACUUUCUUUGGCCAAAAGACCGAAAUCUUGUCCUCCUUUUAGCUGAGCUUUGGGAUAUUUAGGGUCUUACAUGCUGGACUCCUCCAUUCCUGUCUGCUGAGUGGGGCACUGAAUGGAACAUAUCGGUGAACGUCACACCAAAAAUUAUCUGGAAGACCUUUUAAACUUUUUAAACCUUAGUUUUAUAGAUCCGUUUUGAAGGGAUCUGGUGACCUGAACUCUGUUUUUGAAUUAGUGAAAAGGAGCAGCCAUAAAAGGCCUUGUUUGCUGUACUGCAAACUUGGUUACUCCGAGUUCAUUGCCACUACCGUUCUUUAACCGCAAUCCAAGGAAGUUAAACUCACUUAAUUCCAUUUAAAUGGGAAGGUUUAUUCAUAGACGAUGCUUCGAGGAUUGUGGCCCUUGUGUACAAAAAGGGCACAUUUUCCUGUCCUCUUGUAUUGGUGAAUGUUGUGCUGCAACUGGAGCCUUGUAGCCAUUUGUUUGUGUGUAAAGACACAAACAGGUUUUUUGUUGCUAAAAUAAUGAGUUGAACAUAUUAGCUGAGUACAGAGGCUCGUAGAGUCUAGCCACUAAAUGCCGCUUCACAUAUGAACAUACAGAUUUCAUUCACAGAUCGUGCUUUCCAUGUUGGAAAUGGCAUGAAAUCUAUGUAUGUGUGUGACAAUUGCACAUGAGUAUAUAUCAUUAAUAACACAUAUUGGAACAUUUGGCAAUCUACACUUACCCAUAACAAGUAUGUUUCAAUUGCUGAUUUUAUCACAGAAGCCAACACACCGUUUUGUGCCUGACACAAAAUUUUGGGGCAGGGAGUAGUAUUUUAAAAUAAUAAUUAUUAUUAUUGUUACACAAAUUUUGAAAUAUAUAAUAUUUUUUAUUUGGAUGAUUAAAUGGUCUCAUUGGUCAAUAUUGUGUGCACAUUGGAAAUUUAAAAUACAAUGCUUCUUAAAAAGAAACAUGCCAGUUAAAUAGCCUGGAAUGCUGCACAACACUCUUAACGUAAAUCUACAAAAUCAUUAUUGAAGUUGGAAAGGAAUACAUGGAUUUACAGAAGAGAAGAAUGGACAAGAAGGAAAAAUAGCAAAACAAAAAGAAGAAAAAGUUGCCCAGUGACCACUAGAAUUUCAUUACCUGAAGAAAAGCUUCUAGCACUUCACCUGCAUUUUGUAUCUUGCACUUACCACAGAGAUUUUCAUUCUGCGUCCGUGUGUCCCUCAGAAGCUACACACAUUACUAAAUAGCUUUGCAGCUGCUAUCUUGGUACUUAAUCCAAAAGGCCUUAAAAAACAAGAAAACACCUAGAAUGAAAAAUGCCAGUUGUAUAAAACGCUUUUCGUAAAACACUUGGCCUUGAUGAGGAAUAGCUUCUGUUGAACGAUGCUUCCCAGUAUUGCCGUUAGACAAAGGGGAAAGAAGCUGCUUCUGAAAGUUUAAGUUUAUGUUUGGUGAAAUGUUUUUUGUGUGUAAAGAUACUGCACUAAUUGAAUUGGAAAUCAAUACAAAUGUAAGGAUUCUUUUUAUAGCCAGUUACUCUUUACACACUCCUUUAGCCGCUCUGCUAGCGGGUCCGUUUAGUAAUGCAGCCGUAGAAAUCAGUUUGUGCAUUUCAGUUUUUCCUAUGAUUUUUAAUUAUAUAUCUCUUUAUAAGGAACUGUAGAGAUGUUGCGGUGAUGGCAAGGCUGUGAAAAUGUGGCUGUGAUCUUUUCAGUGUCCUUUUACCCAUCUUUGUGCUUGGCCAAAAAAUAUUUUGGAGGCAGAAAGAAGGUUUUGUGUACCAGAUGCUCAUACAGAGGGAGCCCAACUGUGAGAAGAAGAGAGGCAGGAACCUUAGGCAGUGUUAUGGGGUGCCAUUUAAGGGGCAGGCCCCUUAAAAUGACAGGAGCUGUCCAAAGUCUUCACAUGCCUUGUGAAGGAGACUUUCCUAGUGAGUUGUGUCCCAUAUUAAUCAGUGGAAUGAGGGGGCUUCCUUAGAUUUUUCUGCCUGAGGCACCAAAACACUCACAGACUUAUGUAAGCUUCAUUCAAAAACCCAUUUUGCAACAGAUGCUGGAUGAAAUUAGUCCUUUUGUACAUGACAACAACUCUUUACAAAGUGAUUGUUUCUAAUAUUUAAGAAAUUCUAUUUCUUAGACAUAAACAAUCUGAGCACCUGCUAGGACAUGAAACUGAUCAGCCUUAUAAACAACAACUUGCUGGACCUCCAAGAAAAGAGGAGACUCAGAAAGAUCCAUUUGCAUUCUGACCACUUGUGUAAAUGCUAAAUUAGCAAGGUUUUUUUGUCAUUCUGAUUCAUGUAUCGGAGUGUUUAUGAGAUUUCUUUUGGGAGGCUGACUGAUUCUAACACCUUCAAAUAAGCAAGUAGAGCAUAAAGGUAAUAAGAGCAUGGAAGUAAUUAUUUUCCCUCCCUCCCCAUUGCAUGUGUGCUUUCUCCUGGCAGUGCAUUACUGCAUUUCUGUGCUCUUUUCAACUCAAUGGCUAAAAUUUCUGUACAUCGGCUUUCCGUGUUGAAGCACCUUGUUUAUACUGUGGCAUCUGCACAAUGAAUUGAACCACAUGGGUGAAUAAAAUAACAACGUUCCCUACACUGCCACGAGAUGGUGGUUCAGAAGGUGAUUAAUAAAUUGAGUGUAAUAAUAAUAAUAAUAUCUGAAAAAAGAUCUUCAUUGGACUUAUGAAUGGCUUAUACAUACUCCUAUCAUUGACCUACUCAUAGCUUGGCCAGUAAACAUGGUAUAUGAAAGCUACUGAAAUGCUGCUAUCAGACAGUUCCCUAAGCAAGUGGUAUUUGUAUUGCCAUAUGCGUUGGACAAUCACCAAACUGGUGUCCCGUCAAUUUAAAACUGUAAGCUGUUUUUCACCCUUGCAUAAUUUUCAGUGAUGUCUUAACCUUCAAUAUUUCUGCCUAAAACAUCUUUUUUUAAGGCCUCUGUGGCACACUCUAAAUAUAAACUAUUUUGAUCUUGUUGCAGAAAACAUGCUUUAAACUGCCACAGAAUGAAGCCAGCACUUUUUAAUGUUUUGUGUGAAAUCAAAGAAAAAACAGGUAAGGAGAAACGUAUCGUCUUGCACCUUUUCCCUCUUUUGCUGCCUUUCACAUUUCAUGUAUUUCUAAAAAAACAAACAAAAGAAAACUUGUUUUGGUUUAAAUAUUUUAUUUAAAGGGGAAAGCAGCUAUUGUUUUAUUCUUCGGAGAAUGCAUUCUUCUAUCAUAUAAAUGUCUAAAUAGCACAAUGAAGUCAUUUGUGUCUACAAUUCAGGGAAUAUUUUUUUCCGGGCACUAUAUGCCUCAUUACUUUCUUAAAUAUUACAUUAGUUGAAAACAACCCAGAACUGGAUUAAUUCAGCUGCAAUACUUAAAUCUUUUUUAAAAAGGGAAUAUUUGUCUUAAGAUUUUAAGAGCUACUGGGAAAUACAUGGCUCCUAAUGUGGAAAACACACGGAAAAGCCUUCAUUUGGCAUACAUUCAGUCCAGGUAAUGCACACAUAGACACUCAAAGAGGGGUGUGUGUGUGUGUGUGUGUGUGUGUGUACACACACACACACACACACACACACACCUAUAGAUAUGAGAUUGUUGGCUGUUUAAGGAUCUUGUUACUUUUAUAUCAAACAGUGGUUUUUUUGGUUACAAAGGUGCUAAUGGCAUGAGGUUGUUGAUUCGGUCUGUGUUUCCCACUUCGCAGGCCUCCUGCCGUGCACUAAUACACUUAUAAAAUGUCUCAGGGGGGCAUUUAAAUUUUAAAAGCAACAAUUAAAAAUAGCUGUCAUCAAUCAAGGGUGAUCUUAAACAGCAGAUGCUCAGAGAAGAGUGUUCAGUGACAUGCAACACUUAUUUAUUUCAAUUUUCAAAUGGUCUUCGGAAGGGGAAAUCCUGACUUACACCUUAGCCCACAGGAAAAGGUAGCUGGGAAGGCCACUGCUGAGUUUCAGCUCUUGAGUCCGCGGAUGUGCGUUGCAAACUAUCUACUACUCCACACGCCUCCCCCCCCCCCGCUUUUUUCCUAACAAGGAUGUAACAGUCAGUAAUUCAGAUCUCAAUCAUAUAAGUAAGGGGUAUGACAUGAAUGAAAGUGACAACAAAUAUGAUUGCAAACUCACUUGAUAUACAUUGAAAAGUGAUGCAUAAAAGGGAAAGCAGCUUUCAGAAAAUGUCUGUGUGCCUUUAAACUAUGGGUGACUAUGUUUCAUCGUGUGAACAGCUGAGUGAAAUGGGAUUAUUUGACUCCAGCAAUCUAUAUAAGAUGACUAAGGAGGUCCUUUGUUAAAUCUUGUUUGUGCAGCUUGUAACCUAGACAAAGCACCUAGCAUUGGCAUUCAAGCCUCUAAAGCCCUUAAGGCUGCGAAGCCGAAUGCUGACCUUCUUUAGAAGCCAUUCAUUAUGUGGCUCUUAUAAUAUAAUGUAAAGGGGUCUCUGAGGUCUUUCUAUAAUGCGAUGUAAUGCUGCUUGAAUAUAUAAGUUUAAUAACAAGAACAUCUGAAUCUUCUAAUCUUUUUCUGUUACUCUAUGUGUUUUCUCUCUCUCUUAAAAAAAAAUACUUUACAUUGUCCCCUGUUUUCAUAUUCUCUUAUUUGGGAUUUUUUGUCUCUUGUGUGGCAGUCUUCUUAAUUGAUUUCUGCCCUGAUCUGAAAUUGAAGUGCUUAUGAAGUGGUAGCAGAUGGUUAGUGAAAACUGAACCUCUUUAGAACCCCUCUUCCCAGUCUAAUAUUUGGAGAGGCUGGGAUUUGGAGGAAGGUGAGAAAAUCCGACUUUCACUACCAGUGGGCUAAUUCUGGUUGUAUUACUGGCACAAUCAGUGAGCAGCAGCUUGUUCAGCACAGAGGGCCACAUUAGAAAUAUUGUCAGCUGGAGGGGUGCAACUAAUUUGCAUACUAUUUGCAUGUCAUUGUUAUAAUCUCUGUACCAUUUGAACCUUGCAUAAUCAGCACCUGCAGUUGAAAUAUCUCUUAGACUUAUUCUUGCUAAGACAUUUUUGCACGUACAAAUGGGGAACAUUUGAAUGGAUCAUUGCCAAAUAGGGAGAUGCCUGGAGUCUUUGGAAUCGCAAAUAUUGUGUUGAAUUUCUCUCUCCGUUUGUACCUGAUACUUUUGCAUUUUUGCCAUUAUGUUUUCAAAAAUCAUCUCUGCAUACACGGGAAUAGGAAGCGGGUGGGGUGGGGGGAGAUCCUAUAAUUCUCAGUUUUAUAAUAAUGCUGGCUGUUCAGAAGUGUUUGGGGAGAUAGGGACGGACUGCAUGUUGAUUGUAGAUUGUAAAUUGUCCACCUGACCUGCCACUCCGAUGCACUGUGUGCGAGGUUGCAUACAAAAAACAAGUCAUACGUAGGGUUUUCUUUUUCUUAAUGCUUAUUGUUGUGCUGUUAGAAGUGUUUGUGUGUUUUAACCAGGCUUACUCCUGCUGAGUAUACCCAGACAACCAUGCGUUCACACACCUAUAUCCAUAGCAUUGAGAAUCGAGGUGUGAGUGGUUGCGGUUGCGCUCUUUAGCACUUUCAGCAUAAAGCAAUGCAGCCCAGGGGGUGGGGGUUGUGGGUUCUGGCCUCAGGAAUAUUCCAGGCUGACAUUUGCAUGCUGGAUACAUUCUAUGCCGUUGCUUAAUUCAAAGUAAACCUUCUCCUGGAUUGUUUGACAGGCAUCUGGGCACUUUUUAAUAUUUUAACAAUAUUUAGCUUAUUGAAAUUAUUUUCCUGUGUGAAAGGAUAGUUCCCUCCUUGUGCAUUCAUAAUGCCAGUGCCCCAUGGCAAAAUCUCUGGUUACAGGUUUACUAUACGUUUUGUAAUUUAAAACCAAACUGUCAUGCUAAAUAAGUAGAUGCAAUUAUUUUGGGGGAAGAAAUUCCAUAAGCUGCCGGUCGGAAAGGAAAGAAGCAGUGCAACAGAGGAGAGUAAUACAACUGAUUCUGUCAGAAUCUUCUUCCAACAAAGAUUGAAAGGGGAAAUGUACUGAUAGAUCAAAAUCUCACUCUGCUGAAAUCAUUUGCAGCUUCUACUUGGUGUCUCUGUGUUUUUUGUUCAUCUCUUUUCACUCCUGGUGUUCCAGUGUUCUGAAAUGGGCAUUCACUUUUCUACUACUUGAUUUAAGUGACUCCAGAGUCUGCUGGAGACUUUACCACCAUCCCUCGCAACAGUGCGGCUAAUAUUUCACAGUGUUAACAUUGCCGGAACAAACCUAAAGUGUCUAUAAACUUGUUGUAAAAAGAGGUCAUCUUUACUGGCCAAAGAGAUCCCCCUUGUCUGCUGAUGUUUCAAUUUAUUUUAAAGGAAAGGAUUUAUGGAUGCUUUUUAUGUAAGCUUGAAGUAUAAUACAUCGAGAUGUAUGAAAUCUGAGCAUGUUUAUUUAAAAAGAAGAUAGAAGGCAAGAUUUAAUUUUGAAGUAAUGGGAGGGAAACAAAUUUUGUUUACAUGUUCCUCUGGAUUGAAUAUGUACUUUUUUGGCAGGAAGCGAGUACUGUUGCGUAAUGAAGAAUUGAAUUGUGAGGCCAGUUUAUAGUGAUUAAUUGACUAUUUAAUAUUUUAUUUGCAAAAUGUGACAGAUUUCAGAGUUAUUGUAAUUUUAACUUGGGGAUUGUUUUGUAGAGCAUGGUGAGUGUGAAGUUUAAAAGUCAACUAUCUGCAUAAUCAGAAUUUCUGAGAAGGAAUGAGAGCUGGUGUCCUUUAAUUGCAUAGUAGGUGUUAAAAAUUAGACUUCAGUCUGUCAUUUAGCAGAGGUUUCUUUCUCUGAUGUAGAAGGGCAACACAGGAUCAUUACCCAGUUUUGAUGCCUCAUUCAUUCCUUCUUGUGAACUGUCUUUAUUAUUUAAUUUUGCUUUCCAAGAUCAGUUUUGGGAGAUAAUGAUCUUCCCUUGUGAUUUUUUAAAGGAAAAAUCUGUUAAACUUUCCAAAAGGAAAACUGAAUUGUUGCACUGCAAGACUAUAUUAAUAAAAUGGAAACAAAUGUACAGUUUUUAAACAUGAGGAUCUGAGUUCAGAGUUUAGAAUUUGAGGAAACCUGAAGAUAAUCUUCAGUUUUGAAAUCCUGGUUAUGUGUAUUUAAUUUCAUUUAAUUGCUUACCCCAUCCAUGUUUAAGUGGUUAAAAUGUGUACACUUUAUUCAUGUUUUCAGCAUUAAGAUACUAUUUUUUCCUAUACAGUAAAACAUACUAAAAAUAUUUAUAGGCAGCCUUGACCAGUUCUUUAACUGUUAAGAUAUAGUUUGCUCUCUCAUGCUUACCACCAAUAUACUGGUUCACACUACAAAUAUCUUCUGCUCUCAUCCUGUAUAAAUAUCUGCUGCAAAGUUAACAGAUAUUUUGAGGAGGAACAGGUUCUUCCUUUCUUUUUCUUUCUUUCUGUAUCCCACCACAAUACUGAAUUCUUUAUUUUCUUUAUAAAUUCUUAGGUUGGAUUUCACUUCUGACACCUUUGUUGUUGUUUCUGCCUGUCACUUAAAAUACAUAGUGAUUUUGAAAUUUUUUUUGGUUACAGAUUUAGCUAUAUACAGAAACCAAAUGCUUCCUGGCUGCACUCUUUUUUCCUCUAGUGUCCAACCUUUGUCUUGUGUCCAACCUUCUUGAGCUUUGCCGUUGAGCUUUGUGUUGAUGUUCUCUUUAAAAUGAUAUGAUGAUCUAUGGAACUAAUUCUGUUAACAGCAGAGGCUUACACUGUGGUAGUCCAAGAAAGAAAUGAAGACUUAUUUGUGCCGGGAGCUGUACAAAUGCAUAAAAGGGAGAACCUUGCCUUUUAUGCACCUGGUGUUUUGAACUGUACCUCUUACCUUUUUUUCCCUGGUGCCAGAAGAUAUGUAAUGAAGGUGCCAGGGGAGCCUCCCUGGGGAGAGCAUUCCACAAGUGGGGAGCCACUGCAGAAAAGGCCUAUUUUCAUGUUGCCACCCUUUGGACCUCUCAUGGAGGAGGCAUACAAAGAUGUGCCUCAGAUGAUGAUUGCAGGCUUCAGAUUGGUUCAAAUGGGGAGAGUUGGUGCUUGAGGUCCUGAGUUGUUUAAGGCUUUAUAGGUAAAAAACAGCACUUUGAAUGGGGCCUGGAAACAAACUGGCAGCCAGGAUCCAUGUAAUAUGCUCAAACCAUCUUUCCCCAGUGAGCAACCUAGCUGUCGAAUUUUGCCCAGGCAAUGGCAGUGCCUUCCAAAGCACAUGAAGGCAACUUGCUAGCUUAGUGGGUGCAGGACAGGCUUUGUAGCAUAGGUUGCUCUGACGGUUCCCUUUCCCUCAGUGUCUGCUGCCUGAGGCAACCUCCUUACUCAGCCUAAUGGUAGAGCCAGUCAUGUUGCCAGGUGGAACAUGAUUAAAUUAGUUGGGACUUGGCAUUUUUAAUGAAUUGAAAGAGCCAUCUCAGGCAGCAAAUCCCAGAUUUCCUGUCUCCAUAUCUGUGUGCAGCCGUUAGGUGCAGAAAAUGUCCGGUACUGAAAUUAACACAGAAACAGGGCUGAGGGGAGGGGAGAAGUCAAAUAGAGCUCAUAUACUUUGUUUUUGAUGUGCAUUCAUUGAUGUGUAUGGUGAUAUGACUGACACACACCACCAAAUUUGUAGUGUGCAGGUGUAGCUUCAAAAUAUUCAGUUUGAAUGUGGAAGGAGCUUAUGGAGACAAGUGCUUCAACUUUUACCCACACCCGCAUUGCCACACCACAAAGUAGAACGGAAAGUAUGUUAGUAAGAGUGGACCAGGGUUGUGCAGUGUCUGAUUUUCAACACUGUAAUAUAUCAGCAGUUAAAACAUCACAAUAUUAUGAUAUAUUGCCAUUGGAAAUUGGAAAUUGGGUGUUCGGAUGAGGGAAGGAGCAGCCACAGAGAUCACACAGGUGGGGGGCAUGGAGGUUGGGCAUGUGGGUGGGCGAAGGAGUGUGGAAAUCAGGUUAGGGCCACACAGGGGCCCACUCCUCUCCUCCUCUGUGCCUCUUCCCAUGUUGGGAAGGCGAAGUCCUUCCACUCCUCCAUAGACAGAAAAAGGGAGAAGGGAGAAGCAGCCCAACCGCAAUUCCUCUUGGGGUGGAGACUUGGAAAGUGGAGGAGUGAGCCGCUGAAGCAGCCCCCUCUGCUUUCCUUCCCACAGGAUGGGAAGGGCGGCUGGCUGAGGGUGAGCCACAGUGAAUUGGCCGGAGAGGAAAGUCAGGGAGCAGGACAUUACAGUUAUGGAGAGGCUGGGAGUGGGAUGGCUCUGCUAUUGGAGGUGCAGUUGCGCGGUUGUGGGGAAAGGGGUGUACAGUUGCUUCACAAACCCAGGCCAAGAUGUCCUACAUCCCCAAUCCCAUCCCUCCUGGUUGGUUGUGUUCAAAAGUGCUAAUUUUGGACUGGGUGUCCAUGUGCUCUCCCUCCCUCCCUUGUGGAGGGUGCUUAGGAUAAGUAAACCUAAUUGUUUCAUUUGGAACCGAACUCUUGCGAGGACUAAGCAGGCAGGCUUCCUGCCUCUAGGGUGUCCCAGGGAAGAUACUGAACAUGCUCUGCACUCUUCUUCCUUGUUCGAAUGCGUUUGUUCUGCUUGUGCCAUUGAUUCUGCAAUGACAACGAGAACAGUUUGGGAAGGAAAGAGAGACUCUUU